rnacentral:lncRNA from 1 species
CAGUUCUAUCUGAGGACCUUUGGGUCACCUGCCUGCGGCAAGCUGCCUGCUGCAGAGGGAGCUGGCGUGGAGGAGCUGGGAAAUGAGGUGGCUGUGCAAACUCGGGCUUCAGAGGUGCCAAGAGAUCACUCGGAGGGAAUGUACUGAGCUGUGAGGACGGGCGAGCCCGGGAAAACAAUUCGACAACAAUGCCGAGCGCCUAGCUUUCAUCAUCGGCUUGCUGGGUUCCGAGUGUAGUCUGCCACCUAAUCAUAAACAGAGGCUCGCGCUGCCAUCUGGCAGCAAGGCGUGUGUGUGCUGCUGUCGGCUGGGACUUGGGGCCCAUCCUAUGUGAGGUGUCCUCC